AUUGAACGCUGGCGGCAGGCCUAACACAUGCAAGUCGAGCGGACGAAGGGAGCUUGCUCCUGGAUUCAGCGGCGGACGGGUGAGUAAUGCCUAGGAAUCUGCCUGGUAGUGGGGGAUAACGUCCGGAAACGGGCGCUAAUACCGCAUACGUCCUGAGGGAGAAAGUGGGGGAUCUUCGGACCUCACGCUAUUAGAUGAGCCUAGGUCGGAUUAGCUAGUUGGUGGGGUAAAGGCCUACCAAGGCGACGAUCCGUAACUGGUCUGAGAGGAUGAUCAGUCACACUGGAACUGAGACACGGUCCAGACUCCUACGGGAGGCAGCAGUAGGGAAUAUUGGGCAAUGGGCGAAAGCCUGAUCCAGCCAUGCCGCGUGUGUGAAGAAGGUCUUCGGAUUGUAAAACACUUUAAGUUGGGAGGAAGGUCAGUAAGUUAAUACCUUGCUGUUUUGACGUUACCAACAGAGUAAGCACCGGCUAACUUCGUG
rnacentral:rRNA from 1 species